rnacentral:rRNA from 1 species
CCUACGGGCGGCAGCAGUGGGGAAUAUUGCACAAUGGGGGAAACCCUGAUGCAGCGACGCCGCGUGAGCGAUGACGUCUUUCGGUAUGUAAAGCUCUAUCAGUAGGGACGUAAAUGACGGUACCUGACUAACAAUCCCCGGCUAACUACGUGCCAGCAGCCGCGGUAAUACGUCGGGGGCAAGCGUUAUCCGGAUUUACUGGGUGUAAUGGGAGCGUAGACGGUCCGGCAAGCCAGAUGUGAAAGCCCGGGGCUCAACCGCGGGACUGCAGUUGGAACUGUAAGGCUAGAGUGUCGGAGAGGCAGGCGGAAUUCCUGGUGUAGCGGUGAAAUGCGUAGAUAUUAGGAGGAACACCAGUGGCGAAGGCGGCCUGCUGGACGAUGACUGACGUUGAGGCUCGAAAGCGUGGGGAGCAAACAGGAUUAGAUACCCGUGUAGUC